CUGAGGGAUGGGGAAGGGGCCAGGCGUCCCGCUCGUGACGCAUAACGCGCCUGUGACGUCACGGCGGCACGGGAGCGUGUGUCCCGAUGUCAUAAGGGCCUUUUUUUUUUUCAAGGAAAAGAAUCAAUAAAAACGGGAAUGGGAAGAAGUCAACCAACCAGGCUUUGGGUUAGUAGUUCCGUAUAAAACAGAAAGGACCACAGCCUGCGUGAAGCCAACAGAUGAGCAGGGGACUCGAACAAAUAUGAGGAAAGAAGAAAACGGGGAACAUUGGAAAGAACAAAUACGGGGAAAGAAGAAACGGGGAACAUUGGUUACACAUUGGGAGAGCUCAAAGAAAUGGAUGCUGAACUAAGAGAAUAAAAAGAAGACCUUCUUUGGAGAGGGCACAGUAAGAGAGGCCCUCUCAGAGAAGGAGGCCUCCAAGACGAGUUGAAGAAGGAAAAGGGAGGAGCCGCCGUUCCUGGAGGAAUCUCAAGGCAACAAGUCUAGCACGUGCAAAGGCUCUGAGACAGGACUAGCCUUAGGCAAUUGAGAAAGGAUAAGCCAGUAUGGCCGCAGCGCUGUAAGAUGGGACUCAGUUGAGUGGCCCCCGUUCAGCAGCACCUCAGGAAAGGCGCCCAGACAUCCCGGUGGGCCCUGCUGGGCUCAAGGUGCAAACCCCUCAGCCUCCGUGGCUAUCUGGAAGCCUCUGGACAUCCGGGAGCCUGAGAACUCAUUAUCCUGCUUUGGAACUGCCCCGGUUCUAAUUGGAAGAAAACAAAGGCUGAAGCUAAUCACUGCAACCUCCUCUUUUUACAUACAGGGAAACUGACCCCCUGGGAGGAGGAAGUAUUUUUUUCCCCCAAAAUCAAGUUAUUGGCAGGUUUUCUGGCUCCCCGCCUGGCAUCUGCCACACUGAUGUUGCCUAACUCAGCCCUGAACACAGUUGAGGCAUUCAGUGAACACUUAUUGACUGACUGAUGGGCUUUGUGUGUGGAGACCAUGUUUCCCGACUCCAUCCGCAGGACAUGAGGUCUGUCUGCCUAUAUGCAGCUGGUCUCUGCUGACCCUCUGUCCGUCCAGCUCCUUGGACUGAGGAUAUACAGUUGUAGAAAAGGAGGAAAGUUAGAGGAAGCCUUUCAUAAUACCUGUAAGCAAAAAGUUUCCUUUAGUUCCAAAGGGCACUCAUAGUUUUCUUCCUUUUUUCUUCUUCCUUUUACUAUUUUAUGUAUGUAUGUAUGUAUGUAUUUUUUUUUCCUUUGGAGACAAGGUCUCCCUCUGUAGUCCAGCCUGGCCUUGAACUCACAUAGUGAGCCCCAAGCUGCCCUCGAACUCAGGGUGAUCCUCCUGCCUCAGCCAUCUCAGUACUGGGAUUACAAGCGUGUGCCACCACACCCAGCUCUUCUACCUUUUAAUUUGUUGUAUUUGGUCAAGAAAGAUGACUUUGGCGCCGGGGAUUUAGCUCAGUGGUUUUGCUGCCUGCUGCGCAAGCGCAAGGACCAGAGUUCAAUCCCCCGUACCAAAAAAAAAGAAAAGAAAAGAAAAUCGAUAUGGACCUCCCUGGGCUGGCGUCAGGCUUGUCAAUGAAGUGCGUGGGAGGGCUGGUGCAGGAGAGCCACAUUAGGUUUCCCCACUCCCACCUCUCCUGUGAUAUUUGUGGGCUAAAGAGGAUAUCUGCUAUGGAGAGGGCAGUGCAUGUAUGAGCCAAGCCAGGAGACCUCACUCUCAAUGGGGACAUUGUUUCUCCCUGGGCAGGCAAUCUCCUGUUACACAGUAUCAGGAAUUGUUUGGAAAGAACAAUUUGAGAACAGAUAAUAGCCUUCACAUAAUUGAACCUUCAGAUCAUCUCGGCCCCGGGAUUAGGAUUCUUUCUCUCCGGUGGACAUUGGUAGAAUUAGUCCUCAGCAUUCCCAGGUGGAGGAACUGGGAGAACGUGUGUUGAUGUGGUUAGAGAUGCCCUCAGCCUGCCCUCCGAUCCUGGGUGGAGGCGCUGGAGGGAUCAGUCACUCCCCAGGGCCUCAGGUGAGCAGCCGCGCCCUGUGAUGGCCCAGCCUGACGUCACCACCAUGGUGGCUGUCUUGUACCAUCACCUACAUGCCCCAGAUGACCUACACACUACUCACCGGAAGAAAAAAAAUUGGGAAGACGAUGUACAGGAAGUGGGUUAUUUGAUUUGAAUUUAACAUUUGUGGUUUGGGGAUUUUUUUCCUUCCCUCAUUUAUUUACUUAUUUUUUUUUUCUCAUGCCAGUUUGGUUGAAUGAACUAUUUCAGGCAUACAAAAGAGAGACUGUAAUACUCGCAUCCUCACCAGGUUAAGGAAUAAACAUCAGGGGGGAAGAUGAAGCUCAUACUCCUCCAUCCCAUUUCCUUUCUCCCUCCCUGGAGGUAGCUAAGGUCCUGUUUCAUUACCUUGUACAAAUAUAUCUAUCAUGUUUAUAAUAAGAAUACAUAUACAUUCUGCCAUUUGCUUUUUUCAUCAGCGUUGGGUUUUGUUUUAUUUAUUUUUUUGUACCAGAGAUCAAACUUGGGACCUUGCACUUUUGAGGCAGGUGGCAAAACCACUGAGCUAAAUCCCCAGCCCCUAUUUUUUUGUUUUUUUGAGACAGGGUCUCACUGUGUAGCCCAGGCUGGCCUAAAACUUCAAGCAAUCCUCCUGUCUCAGCCUCCCGAGUGCUGGGAUUACAGGCAUGGCACCAUGUCCGGCAUCAUUUCUGGGAUAUAGGCUUGCUGAUUUAUAUGGUUUAAAACAUACCCAUGUGGUUGUAUGGUUGUUUAUUUCUUUGUUUUGCAGCACUGGGGACUGAACCCAGGGCCUUCACUCUGAGCCACCUCCCCAGCCCUCUUUUAUUUUUCAUUUUGAGACAGUUUCUUGCUAAGUCACUAAGUUGCCUAGGCUGGGCUCAAACUCGGGAUUUUCCUGCCUCAGCCUCCCAGACUCCUUGAACUCCAGCCAGGCACCACCAUUCCUGACUUCAUUUUUAUAACUAUAUGUGUACAUGUAUAAAGAUACAUGUACACGUGCAACAGCACACAGUUGUCAUGUUUGUAUUCCAUUGAUAUGUGUGAUAAUUCCUUUUUCUGUUAAUGAGACCACAGGGUGUUUACCUUUCUAGCUUUAUUUGACCUUGCUAAAUUGCUUUCUAAAAUCGUUGUACUAAUAAUCAUUAUGAUAAAGCAUACUUAAAACUUAUUUACCAUUAUUUUAAGAACAAUCAGGUUCAUGUUUAGAGCCUGGGGUUUUUUUGUUGUUGUUUUUGGUACCGGGAUCGGACUCAGGACCUUGUGUGGCAGAACCAUUGAGCUAAAUCCCCGGCCCUUACCAUUAUUUUUAACUGGUAUUAAGCACAGUUCAGUGGCCCUCAGGACAUUGGGAUGGUUGUAUAACUAUCACCAUCAUCCCCGUGUGUGGUGGUGCAUGCUUGUAAUCUCAGCACUCGGGAGGGAAGGCUGAGGCAGGAGGACUGCAAGUUCGAGCCCAGUUUGGGCAACUUAGUAAGUUUAAGAUCAGCCUGAAGGCCCAGGGAUUUAGCUCAGUGGCACUGUGCCUGCCUGGCAAGGUCGUGAGUUUGAUUCCUGGUACCAAAAAAAAUAAUUAAAAAAAAACAAAACCAAGAUCAGCCUGAACUGCAUAGCGAGAUCCUAUCUCAAAAUACAAAGGAACAAACAAACAAGAAAGAAUGUUGAGUUUGUGGACCAAGAAAUAAAUUCAGCUCUAAAAAAUCACUUCCCAUCUUGGCAACACUGAAAACAGCCCACAGGCAGUGGUUACAAUCCUUGAAGUGGUUUAUAGACAUGACUUCCAGGCAUGGGGUUUGCAGGCUCUCUAGGGAGAAACCAAAAACUGAAACUCUCUCAAGGUGAUAUUUUUUAAAAAAGAAAUUUUAUAGGGUUUUUUUUAGUUGUAAAAGUAAUUUGCAUCUUUCAUUUCUUAACUGGGUGAUAGGCUAUUUCCUAUCCCUUUUCGCAAAUCUGAGAUAUCUUGUGACAAAACACACAGAUUAACACUCAGGUGCUUAAAGCAAUAUUUGCUCACUCUGAAAGCUGUCCUGGGGACGUAGCUCGGUGGCAGGGCACUUGCCUAGCAUGUUGGAGCCCUGGGUUGGGUCCCUAGUGCUGCAAAAAAAAAAAAAAAAAAA